UUUAUUUGACUAAUUAUAAGAGUUAGAGAUGGAUUAAGAGUGUUAGACAACACUUAUACCCAUUUUCUCCCAAAAGAGGCUAAAACCAACAAAAAAUUGCUUAGAAGCAGUAAAUAGUUUUGUUAGUGUUUUUAUGGUCAAAAUGUGUAAGAAUCCAAUGCAUUUGACUAAUUAUAAGAGUUAGAGAUGGAUUAGGAGUUUUUAGACAAUACUUAAUACCUAUUUUCUCCCAAAAGAGGCUAAAACCAACAAAACAUUGCUUAGAAGCAGUAAACACUUUUGUUAGUGUUUUUAUGGUCAAAAUGUGUCAGAAUCCAAUGCAUUUGACUAAUCAUAAGAGUUAGAGAUGGAUUAGGAGUGUUUAGACAACACUUAUACCCAUUUUGUCCCAAAAGAGGCUAAAACCAACAAAAAAUUGCUUAAAAGCAGUAAAU
rnacentral:sRNA from 1 species